UCCAUUCCGAGUUCAAGUAAAAACAAGAAAAUUGAAUUUGAUUUUUUUCCGAAGAAUAUCUGCCAUCGUUGUCCCACUGGAUUUCCGCCUACGCAAACAAAGGUGUAGCUGUAGCCAUUUUGUAUUGUUCGUCUCCAUAGCGCUGUGUGAAUGGCUUCGUUGUAGAGAAUAGCAGGAAAGUUUUUCGCCGCUGGAAUCGCAAAUGAAAUUGAAAUUAUAAGCGGAUUCUAGGCCAUUAAGGGAAUAAGUAAGUCAUUUUAUUAUGGUCGGACUUUUAUCCAAUGAAGUGCAGCAGGCUCCAAAAUGGUCCAAAAGAUCCAGCUUUCUUCUCGGCAACAGUAGCAGCAGCAUUCGAACAAUCCAUAAGACGAUGAUGCUGUUGAUGAUAAUCUCCAUAUGUU